AUUGAACGCUGGCGGCAUGCCUAACACAUGCAAGUCGAACGGCAGCGCGGGCUUCGGCCUGGCGGCGAGUGGCGGACGGGUGAGGAAUGCAUAGGAAUCUGCCCAGUUGUGGGGGAUAACGUAAGGAAACUUACGCUAAUACCGCAUACGACCUCGGGUGAAAGUGGGGGACCUUCGGGCCUCACGCGAUUGGAUGAGCCUAUGCCGGAUUAGCCAGUUGGCGGGGUAAGAGCCCACCAAGGCGACGAUCCGUAGCUGGUCUGAGAGGAUGAUCAGCCACACUGGAACUGAGACACGGUCCAGACUCCUACGGGAGGCAGCAGUGGGGAAUAUUGGACAAUGGGCGAAAGCCUGAUCCAGCAAUGCCGCGUGGGUGAAGAAGGCCUUCGGGUUGUAAAGCCCUUUUGUACGGGAAGAAAUACCACUUGUUAAUACCGGGUGGGGAUGACGGUACCGUAAGAAUAAGCACCGGCUAACUUCGUGCCAGCAGCCGCGGUAAUACGAAGGGUGCAAGCGUUAAUCGGAAUUACUGGGCGUAAAGCGUGCGUAGGUGGUUUGUUAAGUCUGAUGUGAAAGCCCUGGGCUCAACCUGGGAAUGGCAUUGGAUACUGGCUUACUAGAGUGCGGUAGAGGGUAGCGGAAUUUCCGGUGUAGCGGUGAGAUGCGUAGAGAUCGGAAGGAACAUCUGUGGCGAAGGCGGCUACCUGGACCAGCACUGACACUGAGGCACGAAAGCGUGGGGGAGCAAACAGGAUUAGAUACCC
rnacentral:rRNA from 1 species